rnacentral:rRNA from 1 species
CGACGAUCAGUAGCCGACCUGAGAGGGUGACCGGCCACAUUGGGACUGAGACACGGCCCAAACUCCUACGGGAGGCAGCAGUGGGGAAUAUUGCACAAUGGGGGAAACCCUGAUGCAGCGACGCCGCGUGAGCGAUGAAGUAUUUCGGUAUGUAAAGCUCUAUCAGCAGGGAAGAAAAUGACGGUACCUGACUAAGAAGCCCCGGCUAACUACGUGCCAGCAGCCGCGGUAAUACGUAGGGGGCAAGCGUUAUCCGGAUUUACUGGGUGUAAAGGGAGCGUAGACGGCAUGGCAAGCCAGAUGUGAAAGCCCGGGGCUCAACCCCGGGACUGCAUUUGGAACUGUCAGGCUAGAGUGUCGGAGAGGAAAGCGGAAUUCCUAGUGUAGCGGUGAAAUGCGUAGAUAUUAGGAGGAACACCAGUGGCGAAGGCGGCUUUCUGGACGAUGACUGACGUUGAGGCUCGAAAGCGUGGGGAGCAAACAGGAUUAGAUACCCUGGUAGUCCACGC